AUGCGCAGAGAUGCUGGAUGUGGACCAGCUGGCUCGGGUCCUCCCAGUCACUGGCUCAGAGGACAUGGAUCAGAUCCAUCAGGACCAUGUGAAGAUUGGACAGGACAAAUAUGUGACCAAGUAAGAUGCUCACACACCCCUCUCACACACACCCCUCACUCACACACCCCUCACUCACACACCCCUCACACACACACCACUCACACACACACCACUCACACACACCUCACACACACACCCCUCACACACACACCCCUCACUCCCCUCACUCACACACACCUCUCACACACACUCCUCACACACACACCACUCACACACCCCUCAGUCACACACCCCUCUCACACACACUCCUCACACACACACCCCUCGCUCACACACACCCCUCACUCACACACCCCUCACACACACACCCCUCACACACACACCCCUCACACACCCCUCACACACACACAUCACUCACACACACACACACCCCUCUCACACACACUCCUCACACACACACCUCACACACACCUCACACACCCCUCACACACCCCUCACACACACACCCCUCACACACCCCUCACACACACACAUCACUCACACACACCCCUCGCUCACACACCCACACACCUCACACACACCCCUCACACACACACACCCCUCACACACACCCCUCGCUCACACACCCCUCACACACACCCCUCACACACACACACACACCCCUCACACACACACACCCCUCACACACCCCUCACACACACCCCUCGCUCACACACCCCUCACACACACCCCUCACACACACACACACACCCCUCACACACCCCUCACACACACCCCUCACACACACACACACACACACACACACACCCCUCACCCACACCCCUCACACACACCCCUCACACACCCCUCACACACCCCUCUCACACACACACACACCUCACACACACACACACUCACACCCCUCACACACACCCCUCACACACACACCCCUCACACACACACGCCUCACACACACACACACACACACACACACACCCCACACACACCCCUCACACACACCACACACACACACACACCCCACACACACCCCUCACACACACCCCUCACACACACACACCCCUCACACACCCCUCACACACACACACACGCCUCACACACAUACCCCUCAUACACCUCACACACCCCUCACUCACACACACCUCACACACACACACACACACCCCUCACACACCCCUCACACACACACACACGCCUCACACACACACCCCACACACCCCUCACACACACACACCCCUCACACACCCCUCACACACACACACACGCCUCACACACACACCCCACACACCCCUCACACACACACACCCCUCACACACCCCUCACACACACACACACGCCUCACACACAUACCCCUCAUACACCUCACACACCCCUCACUCACACACCCCUCACUCACACACCCCUCACACACACCUCACACACCCCUCACACACCCCCCCCCCACACACACACACACACCCCUCACACACACACCCCUCACACACCCCUCACACACACCCCUCACACACAGACUUUCAAAACUACAGCUUGGAUCUUGCCUGAAAUCUGAAUGACUGUGCGUGCCUGUUUAAAUCAUUUACC
rnacentral:lncRNA from 1 species